rnacentral:tRNA from 1 species
UUAGUUAUAGUUUAAUUAAAACAUUAAUUUUGUAAAUUAAAAAUAAUAAAAAUUUAACUAAC